UAGAAGAAGAAGGUAAUGUUGCUAUUGGAAAAUCCGGGGCUCUGCUCAUGCUUCCUCAUUGGACUUCUAGCUGGGGAAAACACAGAGAGAGGAAAGAGGACCAAUGCCUACUGAGUGUCCUGAUUCACGUUGGAAUUUAUCACAACACAGUGCCUGUGCUUUACAACCCUUUCCAGCACUGUCUUCUAACACUAAUCUUUAAUGUUUUUGUAAAUUAAAUCAUAUAAUGUGUA